rnacentral:rRNA from 1 species
UACGUAGGGGGCCAGCGUUGUCCGGAUUUAUUGGGCGUAAAGAGCGUGUAGGCGGCCAGACAGGUCAGCUGUGAAAACUCGAGGCUCAACCUCGAGACGUCGGUUGAAACCGUCUGGCUAGAGUCCGGAAGAGGAGAGUGGAAUUCCCGGUGUAGCGGUGAAAUGCGCAGAUAUCGGGAAGAACACCCGUGGCGAAGGCGGCUCUCUGGGACGGUACUGACGCUGAGACGCGAAAGCGUGGGGAGCGAACAGG